UUUUCUCUCUUUUUUUUUUUUUAAUACAUGGAUUAUACACACCAAAUCAUUGUGGUGUUUUUGUUAUAAUGUCAAUUAAUUAUCAAUAUAUAAGAUUUUAUACAUCAAGUUAAUAGAAUGCACAUGUAAAUACACAGGCAUAUAACUAAUAUCUGCAUGUCAUUAUGUCAUGUCCUUUCUUUAAAGAAUUGUUGUGUUUCAUGUCCAUGUCAUUGUGUCCACAUCCAUGUAUCAUAGCCAGAAAGCAAACAAAACAGGAUAAGAAAUAUGAUAAGCUUUAAUAAAGAACUAUAACUUCUAAUAAUAUGUUUGUGGCUAGAAGAAACUUACAAGACUUAAACCACGGUACAGAGA
rnacentral:misc_RNA from 1 species